rnacentral:tRNA from 4 species
ACAACCGUAGCUCAGCUGGUUAGAGCACCACCUUGACAUGGUGGGGGUCGGUGGUUCGAGUCCACUCGGUUGUACCA